AUACGUAGGUGGCAAGCGUUGUCCGGAUUUACUGGGCGUAAAGGGAGCGUAGGUGGAUAUUUAAGUGGGAUGUGAAAUACUCGGGCUUAACCUGGGUGCUGCAUUCCAAACUGGAAAUCUAGAGUGCAGGAGAGGAAAGGAGAAUUCCUAGUGUAGCGGUGAAAUGCGUAGAGAUUAGGAAGAAUACCAGUGGCGAAGGCGGCUUUCUGGACGAUAACUGACGCUGAGGCUCGAAAGCGUGGGGAGCAAACAGGAUUAGAUACCCUGGUAGUCCACGCCGUAAACGAUGGAUACUAGGUGUAGGAGGGUUAAGCCUUCUGUGCCGCCGCAAACGCAUUAAGUAUCCCGCCUGGGGAGUACGGUCGCAAGAUUAAA
rnacentral:rRNA from 1 species